rnacentral:rRNA from 1 species
UACGAAGGGGGCUAGCGUUGCUCGGAAUCACUGGGCGUAAAGGGUGCGUAGGCGGGUCUUUAAGUCAGGGGUGAAAUCCUGGAGCUCAACUCCAGAACUGCCCUUGAUACUGAGGAUCUUGAGUUCGGGAGAGGUGAGUGGAACUGCGAGUGUAGAGGUGAAAUUCGUAGAUAUUCGCAAGAACACCAGUGGCGAAGGCGGCUCACUGGCCCGAUACUGACGCUGAGGCACGAAAGCAUGGGGAGCGAACAGG